GAUGAACGCUGGCGGCGUGCCUAAUACAUGCAAGUCGAGCGAACGGACGAGAAGCUUGCUUCUCUGAUGUUAGCGGCGGACGGGUGAGUAACACGUGGAUAACCUACCUAUAAGACUGGGAUAACUUCGGGAAACCGUAGCUAAUACCGGAUAAUAUUUUGAACCGCAUGGUUCAAAAGUGAAAGACGGUCCUGCUGUCACUUAUAGAUGGAUCCGCGCUGCAUUAGCUAGUUGGUAAGGUAACGGCUUACCAAGGCAACGAUGCAUAGCCGACCUGAGAGGGUGAUCGGCCACACUGGAACUGAGACACGGUCCAGACUCCUACGGGAGGCAGCAGUAGGGAAUCUUCCGCAAUGGGUGAAAGCCUGACGGAGCAACGCCGCGUGAGUGAUGAAGGUCUUCGGAUCGUAAAACUCUGUUAUUAGGGAAGAACAUAUGUGUAAGUAACUGUGCACAUCUUGACGGUACCUAAUCAGAAAGCCACGGCUAACUACGUG
rnacentral:rRNA from 1 species